rnacentral:tRNA from 1 species
GGACAUGUAGCUUAGGGGUAGAGUGUUUAACUAGUGAUAAAGAGGUCCCUGGUUCAAAUCUGGGUGCCUCUG